rnacentral:rRNA from 1 species
ACUUAAGCAUAUCAAUAAGCGGAGGAAAAGAAACUAACAAGGAUUCCCCUAGUAACUGCGAGUGAAGCGGGAAAAGCUCAAAUUUAAAAUCUGGCGGUCUUUGGCCGUCCGAGUUGUAGUCUGGAGAAGUGCUUUCCGCGCUGGACCGUGUAUAAGUCUCUUGGAACAGAGCGUCAUAGAGGGUGAGAAUCCCGUCUUUGACACGGACUACCAGUGCUUUGUGAUGCGCUCUCAAAGAGUCGAGUUGUUUGGGAAUGCAGCUCAAAAUGGGUGGUGAAUUCCAUCUAAAGCUAAAUAUUGGCGAGAGACCGAUAGCGAACAAGUACCGUGAGGGAAAGAUGAAAAGCACUUUGGAAAGAGAGUUAAACAGUACGUGAAAUUGCUGAAAGGGAAACGCUUGAAGUCAGUCGCGUCGUCCGGAACUCAGCCUUGCUUUUGCUUGGUGCACUUUCCGGAUGACGGGUCAGCAUCGAUUUUGACCGUCGGAAAAGGGCUAGAGUAAUGUGGCACCUCCGGGUGUGUUAUAGACUCUGGUCGCAUACGGCGGUUGGGAUCGAGGAACGCAGCGCGCCGCAAGGCAGGGGUUCGCCCACUUUCGCGCUUAGGAUGCUGGCAUAAUGGCUUUAAACGACCCGUCUUGAAACACGGACCAAGGAGUCUAACAUACCUGCGAGUGUUGGGGUGGGAAAAAAGGCUGGCGAACGCACAGCAAGGUUUCUGGGCUUGUGUAUUCGCUCACUUUCGAAAACUUGACCUCAAAUCAGGUAGGACUACCCGCUGAACUUAAGCAUAUCAAUAAGCGGAGGAAAAGAAA